ensembl:snRNA U6 U6 spliceosomal RNA
GUGUUUGCUUCGGCAGCACAUAUACUGAAAACGGGAAUGACACAGAGAUUAGCAUGGCCCCUGUGCAAGGAUGACAGGCAGAUUUGUGAAGUGUUCCAUAUUUUU